UGCUUCUGCUUUACAUUGUGCUUGUUCAUUUCAAUCACACGUGUCGUAAAUACGCACAGGAACGAUGCCCAUACAGAACAGUCCACUGUGUCGAAAACCACUCUCUUUCUAGCGUGCAAGAACCGAGGAAAUGUUUUUAUGAAUACUGUCAGCUUCGUCUAGGAAGACCAACUUCUCUACAGACUGAAACUGACGGCGAGACCCGCAGUUUCUGCGAUAUUGUGGAAUUGCUCUGAACAGUGAAACAAAACGAGGCGACGAGCUUCUUUGAGAAACUUUAACUACAAUGCAAACUUGUACAAAGAUCAAAGACAAGAUCCCAAUGCAGCUGGGUGGGAAAAAGAACGAAGAGCCAGCGGACAGCAAUAAGCGCCUCGCUGACAGGAGCACACUGGAGUGUGGAGACCUUUUAAAUGACAAAGCUCCCUGGGUGAGUGAUGAGGACACCAACAGUCUUCUGGAUUGGUGGCGGAACGAAGAAG